UUUAAUAACCACUGACUCAUAGCUAGAUAAAAGGGACAUGUCUGAGCUGGGCAGCUUAAUGACACAUUCAAACCAGGGGUUCCACGACGGUGCAGAUGUCACACGCACAGAAUCUGUCCGAUAGCGGUUGCACAAGUCAAGAUUAAAGUGAAAGUCUGAACUGAAGCUUGAGGGUGUGGCUGCGGAUAGCAGCGAGGUGCACAAGUGAAAACAGGCAACCAGAGAGAUGUUUCAGGAGAGGCUCUGAGAACAUCUUCCCACAGCGCUCCAAGCAAGGAGGACACCUGUUACCGAGAUCUGGGACACAGGCAUCGAGUUUCUUUCUUUAUCUAUUGGUUCAAGAAACUAACGUCACCACACUGGACAGAAGCAUGGGAUCUCUGGUAGCUUCUUUUCAAGGUGAACAAGGAACUAUACCAAGGUGGAAUAUAGCCACUAAACAGC
rnacentral:lncRNA from 1 species